rnacentral:rRNA from 1 species
UACGUAGGGUGCAAGCGUUAAUCGGAAUUACUGGGCGUAAAGCGUGCGCAGGCGGUUUUGUAAGUUUGUCGUGAAAUCCCCGGGCUCAACCUGGGAAUGGCGAUGAAGACUGCAAGGCUAGAAUCUGGCAGAGGGGGGUAGAAUUCCACGUGUGAGCAGUGAAAUGCGUAGAGAUGUGGAGGAACACCGAUGGCGAAGGCAGCCCCCUGGGUCAAGAUUGACGCUCAUGCACGAAAGCGUGGGGAGCAACAGGAUUAGAGUAC